rnacentral:rRNA from 1 species
UACGUAGGGCGCAAGCGUUGUCCGGAAUUAUUGGGCGUAAAGAGCUCGUAGGCGGCUUGUCGCGUCGGACGUGAAAGCUCGGGGCUUAACUCCGGGCCUGCAGUGGGUACGGGCAGACUAGAGUGCGGUAGGGGAGACUGGAAUUCCUGGUGUAGCGGUGAAAUGCGCAGAUAUCAGGAGGAACACCGGUGGCGAAGGCGGGUCUCUGGGCCGUAACUGACGCUGAGGAGCGAAAGCGUGGGGAGCGAACAGG